rnacentral:rRNA from 1 species
UGAAUACGAGAUGCUACGGCGUCGAAGCAGUCUAUGUCAUACUUCCAAGAAAAGCUCGCACUGUCAUAAACAAAUAAUGCCUGUACCUUAACCGACACAGGUGGGUAGGUAGAGUAUACUAAGGGGCGCGAGAUAACUCUCUCUAAGGAACUCGGCAAAAUGACUCCGUAACUUCGGGAGAAGGAGUGCCUUAUUUAUAAGGUUGCAAUAACAAGAUCCAAGCAACUGUUUAUCAAAAACACAGGUCUCCGCUAAGUCGUAAGACGAUGUAUGGGGGCUGACGCCUGCCCAGUGCCAGAAGGUUAAAGAAGUUGGUUAGCAUUCGCGAAGCUGAUAACUGAAGCCCUGGUGAACGGCGGCCGUAACUAUAACGGUCCUAAGGUAGCGAAAUUCCUUGUCGGGUAAGUUCCGACCCGCACGAAAGGCGUAAUGAUUUGGAUACUGUCUCGGAGAGGGGCUCGGUGAAAUAGACUUGUCUGUGAAGAUGCGGACUACCUGCACCAGGACAGAAAGACCCUAUGAAGCUUUACUGUAACUUGAGAUUGAAAUUGGACUUUACUUGCGCAGUAUAGGUGGGAGGCGUUGAUAAUAUUCUUGCGGGAUUAUUUGAGCCAUCAGUGAGAUACCACUCUUGUAAUGUUAGAUUUCUAACUUUGUAUCAUUAUCUGGUCAAAGGACAGUUUCAGGCGGGCAGUUUGACUGGGGCGGUCGCCUCCUAAACGGUAACGGAGGCGCACAAAGGUUUCCUCUGAACGGGUAGAAAUCGUAUCUAGAGUGUAAAGGCAUAAGGAAGCUUGACUGUGAGACCUACAAGUCGAGCAGGGACGAAAGUCGGUCUUAGUGAUCUGACGGUGCUGAGUGGAAAGGCCGUCACUCAACGGAUAAAAGUUACUCUAGGAUAACAGGCUGAUCUCCCCCAAGAGUUCACAUCGACGGGGAGGUUUGGCACCUCGAUGUCGGCUCAUCGCAUCCUGGGGCGGUAGUACGUCCCAAGGGUUGGGCUGUUCGCCCAUGAAAGCGGUACGCGAGCUGGGUUCAGAACGUCGUGAGACAGUUCGGUCCAUAUCCGGUGUAGGCCUUAGAAUAUUGAGAGGAGCCUUCUUUAGUACGAGAGGACCGAGAAGGACAUACCUCUGGUGUACCAGUUAUCGUGCCAACGGUAAACGCUGGGUAGCUAUGUAUGGAGUGGAUAACCGCUGAAAGCAACUAAGUGGGAAGCCCACCUCAAGAUAAGUA